GCAGUGCCCCGGCUUGUCGCUGGUGUCACUAUAAUGACACGAGAGGAAAGUCCGGGCAGCAUAAGGCGCUCCACUUCUGAAAAUGGAAGCUGUCGGCGACGACAGGUGAAGGCAGAAGAAAAUAACCGCCCGUGCUUGAUACUAUCCGGGGGAUGCCCCUGGAUAGUCGGCGCUGGCAAGGGUGAGAAGGUGGUGCAAGAGACCACCAGCCGGCGGGUGACCGUCGUGGCUGUGCCGUCUGGAGGCUGCAAGUUCGCGUAUACCAUCGUCAUGACAGGGUUGCCUGCCCGAUGCUUCUAUGAAAGCAACGAUGGAGGGUAGAAUGCUUGAGCUGCAGGGUGACUUGCAGAUUAGAUAAAUGACAAAGCUCUCCGUUUGCGGAGAUACAGAACCCGGCUUAUCAGGGCACUGCCUUA
rnacentral:RNase_P_RNA from 1 species